AGUGAACGCUGGCGGUAGGCCUAACACAUGCAAGUCGAACGGCCGCACCGUAAUAGCUUGCUCUUACGUGUGUCGCGUGUCGGACGGUUGCGGUAUACAUCGGAUUCUACUUGUUCGCGGGGGCUAACGUCGGGUGACUUCCGCUAAUACCGCAUACGACCUGCGGGUGACAGCAGGGGAUCUUCGGGCCUUGUGCGAUUGAAUGAGCCGCUGUCGGAUUAGCUAGUGGGCGGGGUAAAGGCCCACCAAGGCGGCGAUCGGUAGCUGGUCUGAGAGGAUGAGCAGGCACACGGGAACUGAGACACGGUCCAGACUCCGGCGGGAGGCAGCAGUGGGGAAUACUGGACGAGGGGCGAAAGCCUGAUCCAGCCAUACCGCGUGGGUGAAGAAGGACUUCGGGUUGGAGAGCCCUGUUGUUGGGAGAGAAAAGCAGCAGGUUAAUACCCCGCUGUUCUGACGGUACCCAAAGAAUAAGCACCGGCUAACUUCGUG
rnacentral:rRNA from 1 species